GAUGAACGCUGGCGGCGUGCCUAAUACAUGCAAGUCGAGCGAACAGACGAGGAGCUUGCUCCUCUGACGUUAGCGGCGGACGGGUGAGUAACACGUGGAUAACCUACCUAUAAGACUGGGAUAACUUCGGGAAACCGGAGCUAAUACCGGAUAAUAUAUUGAACCGCAUGGUUCAAUAGUGAAAGACGGUUUUGCUGCCACUUAUAGAUGGAUCCGCGCCGCAUUAGCUAGUUGGUAAGGUAACGGCUUACCAAGGCAACGAUGCGUAGCCGACCUGAGAGGGUGAUCGGCCACACUGGACCUGAGACACGGUCCAGACUCCUACGGGAGGCAGCAGUAGGGAAUUUUCCGCAAGGGGCGAAAGCCUGACGGAGCAACGCCGCGUGAGUGAGGAAGGUCUUCGGAUCGUAAACCUCUGUUAUUAGGGAAGAACAAAUGUGUAAGUAACUAUGCACGUCUUGACGGUACCUAAUCAGAAAGCCACGGCUAACUACGUG
rnacentral:rRNA from 1 species